ensembl:lncRNA
UUUGCAUCAAUCAGCUGGUAACAUGUUCAGUGAUUUGUAUUAUUGAACUCAAAUAACAUAAUUUCAUUGACUGAGGACCGAGCUGUUAUCUGUAAUGAGCAGGUAUUAGUGGACCUUUGUGUGUGUGUGUGUGUGUGUGUGUGUGUGAAAAUCACAGAGACUACAGGAAGAGAGAAACUCUCCCCCUUCCCUCCCCCUCUGCUCCUCAAACACACACCCGCAGCACGGAAGCAGCGCGGCCGCUCCGGAAAAAGCACACAAACAAAAGUGAAGAGGAAGCUCGCGGCAUCGUAAGCAGGACGCCGAUAGAUUUCCUUCAGAGACAGCAAGUCAGCGCCGGGAAGCAGCGCAGUGGCUGGUGCUCGUAUGCAGCGUGUGUGUUGAGCCCCUAUUGAGGUACUGACAGUGAUACUGAGGGUGGGACUGUUGCAAACACACGAGCUGAGAGCCACGAAUGGCCCCGAACUCGCCCCGAUGACCUGCUUCUCAGGCGAUGGAAACAACGCGCCUGGUUCCAGUGAGAUGGAUUCGCCGACAGACCUGGACUCCACGUGCUUGGGAACAGCAGGAAACAGUUUGAGGAUUUCUCCCUGUGAUCUUAGCAGCGUAAUAUGCUGAGCGCGCAGAGAGGAAAGAGGAAUCUUAAAAUCCGUCUGUGUUUAAUGAGCUGGUGAUGCUUUUAACGUGAGAUACAACGUUCUGUUUUAGUGAAUGCUGUCAAGGGUGCAAUUUUUAAAUACAACAGUUACAUUUUGUGAUGAUAAACAACUAAAAGCUUCAGCGUUUCUCAUCAGGAAACACAUUUUUCCUUAUUAUAUUUAUUUGCAUUUGUGCUUUGCUCUUAUUGCUUGUUUUUGCUCGUACAAAAAUUAUGCAAAGCUUGAAAACCAACGACGUAUGAGUAAUUACUCGGAUACAGCCUCUCAAAGGGACAGUCUGGAGCUAAUAAACUUUGUAAUAAUGGCCUAAAAGCAAUAUUUAAUAACUGUUUACUGCAAGAAUGCACACACCCUGCACCGCAUUAGAAAAUUCAUAAUUGCAUGCAUGGAAUGUAUUCAAGUUAAAACUACUUAAACAAAAGUAAAACUUCAAAACACACUGCAACUUUAGACCGAGUAACAGUUCACACUAUAUUUGAGAUGGAACUUGGCUCUAAACGAUUUGAGGACGUUUAAUGGAAACGUGUGUGCCAAUGACACCACUAAGAGUUCUUUGAACGCUUUCCUGGUUUGUUCAAUUAUUUUAUUGUAUAGGACCUCCUUUUCACCGUGGAAUUACAUGGGUCAUGUCCUGGUGGUCAUCCCUACCCUUAAAAUAAAGGAAUGGCUUACUCUGAGUACCAGAUCCAUGUGAUUCACGGCUGUAUUUGGUGAAUAGACGUUCAUAAUACGCCGUUAGCGUGAGACCAAAAAAACGCAACAUGUGAGUCGAAAUGUUAUAUUAGAAAUAAUUAAAUACGUUUUUUAUUUUGAUCUUUUACUUUCUAUUGUUUCCUUUUACAGUAUGUUUUUAACUGUAAUGAACACAUAUACAGAGACAACCUUUUAAGUAAAAUCUUAAAAUUGGCAACAUGAGAGAAAAAAACAGAGAGUUUGUCUUGAUGUUUAAAGGAGGAAUGUUUUUGGCCUCGUCCCUUUUCAGUGCUGCAGCCCCUCGUACUCUGAGCACCUUGACAGUUUAAGGCAAACGACUCCCACCGUCGGGUUCUGAGAUUAACUCUGACAGCCACACUGAGGGCAUUUCUCUCCUUGAGGAGGUUUUGCUGACAUCGUUGGUGGCUUUUGCAGAUUCGAUUUUUAAGGAAAAAAACGACAUAAAUAUAAUAAAAAAACUGUCAACACGUUUCACCAGUUAUUUCUCAUAUAUGUUAUUUUGGCAAGCCAAAGGCACAAACAAUGACAGGAUGAAUAUAUAGACCGAUAAUUCCCUUAUUAUACCCUAUAAGCCACAUUUGUAAUUAUGAAGUUAAUCACCUACAGUACGUGUUCGUAUACCAACAGUAGUAUGAAUACCAACAGCUGUUGCUAUUACUCACAACUAUUAAGUAGACUUGGGAAAAAAUGACCAAUCCACGCUGUUAGGCCCCAAUACUUCUUUAAUGUGUUUUAAUAACUGUACAUUUUCACUCGUCCUUGAGAGCAGUUUCCUCCGAUGACAGAAUUGAGGUUGUUUUUAGCGUCAGAAGUGUGAUGAGGAGCUGGACACAUCCAACCCACCAGACUUUGGGCAGAUAAACAUUGAAGAGACAAAUAGUAUGUCGUUGACCUUUAUAAGCUGAGGUCACAGUAUUAAAUCCUUUGAGCCAUUUCUCAUUUUAUGAGAAGCACACUGCAGCUUCUACAACUGGUAAAUUAUUUAUUUUAUUUAAAGUAUUUCCUAAUCAUGAGUGACACUUGAUCUUGUGCGCAUGAAGCACUUGUUCCAUAACGGAAACGAUGCCUUCACAAAAACGAGACCGGAAUGCUUGAAACUAGUCGCAGUUUGAGAUGGAAAACAACCUUCUUUUUUGCCAGUGUUGGUUUUUAAUGAAGGAUUCACAUAAAAUCAGCCAUAGUAAAUGGAGAGUGUUUUUUGAGUGCAGCCUCUUCAUUGUCUGGGACUGUUUACUGCAUCUGUCGGCCUUCUGUCGGCUUUGCUUUCCAAUCUCUGUGAUUUUUCUGUGCAUGAAAAAGAGGCUCAUCCGUCCUGUUCCUCUCUCCCACUAUUCAUUCCCACCAAACGACUGAACAACUGCUUUAAGAUGCUCCUCCGACUGCUAAUCAUCCCCUGCCGUUUUUAAAACACCUCCACCGAGCUAAAUACCAUUCGGUUCAGCGCAUCACGAUCGACUCGGCGAGAUAGUCGACUGACUUUCCACUCUUCCAUUUAUCUCUCCUUGCUUGGCACAACAGUCAAUACGGACUCAGCUGGCCCAAGCGGAACGGAUUUCAAACCAAACAGAAUCACUGAACCUAUUAGCCCAGAUCUUGUCACAGAAACACGCCCCCAACCAUCAAAGGGGAGGAGUCACAGCUGGUUCGUUGGUUCAAAGUACCAGUCGCAGCAGUGAGGCCCAUUCUGCUAUAAUGUGUCUACCUGUGUCGCUAUUCAUGUCGUAAUAUGGUUCUUUUGGUAUGUUUUAUGUUCAGUGAAGGUUACAGACUGUCAGAUGGCAUCAGCGGUUUCUCCUUUUUUCUCCGUUUUUACGGGCUCCUCCCUUAUGCGCCAUUUCCUCCUCUACAUCCUUGCCUCUGUUUCCUCCUUUCUCCAAACAGUGUUUGGAGAGUACAAAUAUUUUGGUGUCAAUCAGGGAAAACGUGGUCUACCUCUUGCUAUAAUUGUCUUUUGAGUAACAAUUCAUUAGACUUGCAUGAAGACUUCACAAGGCGUCCUUGAGGAAUCCGGGGGCGGUUUACGCUUGAAAAGUUGCUGUCGUGUGCCUGAUGUAACUUGAGUGAAGUCUUACAAGACGGAGGUGAGGCAGCCCUGCUUUUGUGACAGUCGAAACUCUGUAUGAAUAUGUAUGAAUAUAAGCAUAAUACACACAGAGGUGGAAAAUAAAGCCUUGAAAUGAAAGUACUUCAGUAACAGAAUGAGAGAUGUUAUCCCACAGAGGGCAGAUGAUGGUGGGCCACUGGGCUAAUCACUGAUUCUUCAUGAUAUGUAAAUGUCCUCUCUUGUUCCUUAGUAACCAAGGAGCAACACGUCCUUCAGUGCUCGUAUGCACUUUCUCUCUGUAUUUACUUAUUUUCCAAAUAAUAUUACUGUUUAAACUGAAUUUUGAGAUUAAUCUGGGACAAUCCACCCGAGAUGAACUGUCAGAGGUGCUCGCCAAAGCUCUCGCAAACGACUACAGACAAAGCAUCAUUUAUCGCUUCCAGGAGUGGAGUCACCAUGGAUACGGGUCUUCCACCUGUCAUGCUGUUCGCACCGUUGGAUGGAUUAAGAAGGAAACAAACCUCCCUCCCUUUUUGGAAUACAUGCUUCUCAACUUGCGGGUGAAAGAUUGUUACAAUAUUCUUCCCCCAAAUGAGGUUAUGGAGGAAAUUAAGCACGAUGACCAUAAACGAUCCAGCCGUAGGGGUCCACCUGCUCUUGUUAUUCGAUGCAUUCGUCUUCCCUGUGUGCGUACAGUGCAUUAGCCAGGGAGUAUGUGUGACUUUUUACAGCUCCUCUGGAUCCACAAAAGGCUUUCACACAACUUGUUUUAUAUGCAUAUAUAUAUGUACAUAUAUACAAAUAUUCAUGCAGAAGUACUCCCAAAGAUCUGAAAAGUUACUACUACGUGAAAAAUAAGUUGCAUAAAGAAUCCCUCCCAAAUGUCAGAAGGCUUCUAGACAUUAAAGUAGAACACCUACUGGCAUGGAAUUGAACAGCCUCAGGUAUCAUCAUUCUAUACAUCUCAUUUUUGAGUUUCUCAUCCAAUGUUGUAAGUUCCUUUUCUGUCUUUUUCAUUUUUUAAUCUCAAACGUGUCAUUUUC